GAUGAACGCUGGCGGCGUGCCUAAUACAUGCAAGUCGAGCGAACGGACGAGAAGCUUGCUUCUCUGAUGUUAGCGGCGGACGGGGGAGUAACACGUGGAUAACCUACCUAUAAGACUGGGAUAAAUUCGGGAAACCGGAGCUAAUACCGGAUGAUAUUUUGAACCGCAUGGUUCAAAAGUGAAAGACGGUCUUGCUGUCACUUAUAGAUGGAUCCGCGCUGCAUUAGCUAGUUGGUAAGGUAACGGCUUACCAAGGCAACGAUGCAUAGCCGACCUGAGAGGGUGAUCGGCCACACUGGAACUGAGACACGGUCCAGACUCCUACGGGAGGCAGCAGUAGGGAAUCUUCCGCAAUGGGCGAAAGCCUGACGGAGCAACGCCGCGUGAGUGAUGAAGGUCUUCGGAUCGUAAAACUCUGUUAUUAGGGAAGAACAUAUGUGUAAGUAACUGUGCACAUCUUGACGGUACCUAAUCAGAAAGCCACGGCUAACUACGUG
rnacentral:rRNA from 1 species